AAAGCACCCCCGGCGCAGGAUGAACCCGCGGCUUAUGAUUUUCUUGGUGAGGUGGUGGCUCACCAAGGUGUAGCACGGGUCGCCGGCCCGAGAGGGCCACCGGCCACACUGGGACUGAGACACGGCCCAGACUCCUACGGUCAUGCAGCAGUGGGAAAUAUUGCACCUUGGGCGAAACCCUGAUGCCCCGACGCCCCGUGAGGGAUGACGGCCUUCGGGUUGUAAACCUCUUUCACAUGAAACAACCGAGAGUGACGGUACCUGCAGAAGAACGCCGGCUAACUACGUGCCAGCAGCCGCGGUAAUACGUAUGGCAAGGCUUUUCCUGAAUUAUUGGGCGUAAAGAGCUCGUACGCGGCUUGU
rnacentral:rRNA from 1 species